rnacentral:rRNA from 1 species
GGUCAAGCGAAUAAGCGCACACGGUGGAUGCCUUGGCGGUCAGAGGCGAUGAAGGACGUGGCAGCCUGCGAAAAGUAUCGGGGAGCUGGCAACAAGCUUUGAUCCGGUAAUGUCCGAAUGGGGAAACCCACCCGCUUGCGGGUAUCCUGCAGUGAAUACAUAGCUGCUGGAAGCGAACCUGGUGAACUGAAAUAUCUAAGUAACCAGAGGAAAAGAAAUCAACCGAGAUUCCGUAAGUAGCGACGAGCGAACGCGGACUAGCCCUUAAGCUGAUUUGGUUCUAGGAAAACGCUCUGGAAAGAGUGGCCAUAGAAGGUGAUAGCCCUGUAUCUGAAAGGGCCAUUUCAGUGAAGACGAGUAGGGCGGGGCACGUGAAACCCUGUCUGAACAUGGGGGGACCAUCCUCCAAGGCUAAAUACUACUGACCGACCGAUAGUGAACCAGUACCGUGAGGGAAAGGCGAAAAGAACCCCGGAGAGGGGAGUGAAAUAGAACCUGAAACCGUGUGCGUACAAGCAGUAGGAGCUCCGCAAGGAGUGACUGCGUACCUUUUGUAUAAUGGGUCAGCGACUUACUGUUCGUGGCAAGCUUAACCGUAUAGGGGAGGCGAAGGGAAACCGAGUCUGAUAAGGGCGCAUAGUCGCGGGCAGUAGACCCGAAACCGGGUGAUCUAGUCAUGCCCAGGGUGAAGGUGCGGUAACACGCACUGGAGGCCCGAACCCACUCCCGUUGCAAAGGUAGGGGAUGAGGUGUGAUUAGGAGUGAAAAGCUAAUCGAACCCGGAGAUAGCUGGUUCUCCUCGAAAGCUAUUUAGGUAGCGCCUCAUAUGUAUCCUCUCGGGGGUAGAGCACUGUUAUGGCUAGGGGGUCAUCGCGACUUACCAAACCAUUGCAAACUCCGAAUACCGAGACGGACUGUAUGGGAGACACACGGCGGGUGCUAACGUCCGUCGUGAAAAGGGAAACAACCCAGACCCACAGCUAAGGUCCCAAAUUUUGUGCUAAGUGGAAAACCAUGUGGAAAGGCACAGACAGCCAGGAGGUUGGCUUAGAAGCAGCCACCCUUUAAAGAAAGCGUAAUAGCUCACUGGUCGAGUCGGUCUGCGGGGAAGAUUUAACGGGGCUAAGCACAGAACCGAAGCUUGGGGUGCAUACUUUGUAUGCGCGGUAGAGGAGCGUUCCGUAAGCCGUUGAAGGUGGAUUGAGAAGUCUGCUGGAGGUAUCGGAAGUGCGAAUGCUGACAUGAGUAACGAUAAUGCGGGUGAAAAACCCGCACGCCGAAAGCCCAAGGUUUCCUUGCGCAACGUUAAUCGGCGCAGGGUGAGUCGGCCCCUAAGGCGAGGACGAAAGUCGUAGUCGAUGGGAAGCAGGUUAAUAUUCCUGCACCUCGCGUAAGUGCGAUGGAGGGACGGAGAAGGUUAGGUGUACCAGGCGUUGGUUGUCCUGGGGAAAGGCGGUAGGUUUGGAUCUUUGGCAAAUCCGGGAUCCU